CACUUAGCCAACUGAGCCACCCACAAGCCCCUAAUGCGGGUCAACUUCUGAACUCUAUUCCAUCAUGUUUUAUCUAUAUGUCUGUUCUUCUGCUAGAACUGUAACUUUAUGGUACUACAAGUUGGUGGUACAACAUGAAGGACCCACACAGAAAAGCAGUAACUACUACAAAGGGCUCGGAGACAACCACGGCCGUCGGAGCUGGGUACACGCAGGGAGGGCGUCAGGCGUAAAACGCCCCGGAACCAGACUUCCGCUGGUCUUCACGCUCGCUCUGAAAUGCUCUCCCAGCAUAUUGGCCUCACAAGUGAACAAGAAAUAAGCCACUGAGGAAUAAGGAAGGUGGAAAUGCCUCAGUGUCUCUUCCAGACACAGAUGCUUUAAAUAAUCCACACCCAGACUCUGAAGCAGUAGUCCAUUACAAGUAGACUUAACUGAUAAGGCAGGAUUGAUUACAAGAAGGGAAUUCAAUUGCAAGACUCCUGACAACACCAUAAUCUAAUACUGCUUGGAGGGAAAUCACUCUUUUUGUUUGGCAUUUUCAUUAACAGAACCACCUGACUGCAGUUUUAAAAAUUCCAUCAGGAAAUAAAAAAGCCUAUUACUGUC